rfam:Ornithorhynchus anatinus chromosome 6, whole genome shotgun sequence.
AGCAGCUUGGCUUAGUGGAAAGAGCACGGGCCUGGGAGUCAGAGGAUCCGGGUUCUAAUCCCGGUUCUGCCA